GAAAGGCAAGAAAGUUCGAGUGGAGUCUUUGUUCUAAGAUUAGAGAACAACUAUAUAUGUUCAAGCUUAGUACUUUCUUAGCUGCUCUAGCAAAGGCACAACUAGUGGAGAGGAACCUUCAUUUUUUUUCUCCAGUAGUGGGGAACCUCAGCCCCCCAGUUUCACACCGCAAACCAGCACCCACUCACCUAUUCAGUAGAAUAAGAGACCUAGGCCAGUGACUCAGGCUCCUCCUCAUAUUCUAGUAACAAGAUGCAGUAGGACUUGUUAACACUGUUGCAAGGAUCAUGGGGACUGACCAUGCUAUCACUUCAACAAUACUUGUCGUAUAUGUAAGAGUGCCCAGUACUACGCGAGAAAGUGCCCG
rnacentral:lncRNA from 1 species